rnacentral:tRNA from 3 species
GCCCCGGUGGUGAAAUUGGUAGACACAAGGGACUUAAAAUCCCUCGGCUUAGGCUGUGCCGGUUCGACCCCGGCCCGGGGCACCA